rnacentral:lncRNA from 1 species
GCGCGCCGCGCGCCGUCGAGGUCCCCGCGUCGCCGCCCUCUGCCUUUCGUAACUCGGCGCGGGGUCUGGGUUUGCAGGGCUUUGAAAACGAGCCCCCGGCGCCUUGCGCCCUCUCUUCCGGCGCUCUGGCCGCAGAUUCGGGUAGCGCCGGCCACCGUGGACCAUUUUUCUUUUUUUCCUGCUUCGCGGCGUUCCAGGAUUUUCUCUUCCGGGUCGCUCUGAGGCACGGUCAGGGGUGCCAGCAUUCCCGGUUUGGCAUUGAACCCUCGGACUCUGCAAACACCAUUGAGGGGAAGCCCCCUUUUGCGCGUGCGCCGCGCCUCCUGAGGCCGGGAGCUAAGUCGGGCUGGCAGGGCCAGGUGGCACAUAAGCUCUGCCUCUGGGUUUCUAUUUGGCGUCAUCCGUGUGCAGAGGCGGCUGAGAUUUCGGCAACACAACAGCCUGGCCUUGACUGCAGCUCCAUCCCCAGCUCGGUGGCCCUCUUCGUCUGCAUUUUUCCCCCUCCAGAGGUUGCCUAGGAGGUUUGUGUAAUUGCCUUGUGCUCGGGAGGGAAAAGAUAUAUAUUUGUUCCAGCACAUCAAGGACAAAAAUAAAACGAGACUGGGGGAAAUGGUUUCUUUGCAAGGCAGCUAUUUAAUUGAUCUAUUUGGAAUUCAUAUGCCCUGUUGCUGCAUGCUAAUUGCAAGCCAUUUUGAAGCAGAAUCAGCUUGGAUCACAAACUGAUUUAAGGCCAUGGAACUGGCCUGGCCAGCUCGGGCGAGCCGUGUACAUGAACUCCCUGGUUUUACCAGGCCUGGGGAGAGAGGACUUCUUUGGUGAAGGCAGAACAACAAGCCUAGAACUCCAGGGGUGACACAGACCUUGGCGGCCUUUCAGAAGCGACAAGCCAAGUUUUGUUUUCUCUUCCUUGCAUCCCUACAGCAGCGGGUAACACACUGGCACCGCACCCCCUACCCACCAACUCCCCCCCCCCGCCACCCCAGCACCAGAGCACUCUCAGCUGCGUCUCCAUCUUCAAAACAGCCUUCUGGAAAGACGGAUGGCAUGACCUCCAAUCUAACGGCCAACUCCAGACGCCUGGCAACACCCCCGCUGCAGCUUCAUCGUGCAGCAUCACACAGACAGGCAAACCGUCUGAUGAGGAUAUUUUGCAUGCGUGUUGCCAGUGAUGCAAACCGAUGUCAAGCCAAGCAGUGGUAAUGCCGUCAUUUGACCAACAGAAAAAUACAAAUAAAGAACACUUUAAGAUUUGUAUGCUGCUAUCAUUUACUCAGAACUCCCUUUAUCCCAGGAAGAGAAACAGAGAUAAACAGUUUCUGCAGUUGGACCAUGUGAGUUAACAUCCCGAUUGACCGUCACUUGCAGAGGGCACAAGGGGCUAUUAUUUAGCCUGUCUGAGCUCAGGAGCCUGGUCUGGAAAAUAUACAUAAUGACAUCUCCCUCCCAGGCUAGAUGUAAAGCUGUUAGCACAGCAUCCAGAGCCUGACUGGUGUUUCGUGAGGCUGUUCGGGGGGCCCGAGUUUCCUCAUGUGCCCAGAGCUUUGAAGACCCUUGUCUAACCCAUGUUCGCCCUGCCCCUGUGCCGUGGACGCACGGGUUUGCUGACAUGCUUCCAUAGUCCUGCCUGACUUUCCUCUUCGCCAGGAAGCACUGCUUCGAACCCUCUUGGGUUCAGAGCUGCCUUCCCUCUGUGAUUCAGCCAUUCUAUAAACGGAUCGCCUGUCGUCUCCUAAAGGCGUUUGGUCUUCUCAAGAGGAUGUGAUGAGGCCAAUGAAGGGAAAAGGCAGUCACUGCUUCCCAAAUGACAGCCCACAGGAGACUUCGUCUUUUAAUUACCACGUCGUUUGCAGGUCUAAUUGCGCAGUAAUUGCCUGAACAUAUGUAGCGACAAGGUGUGUUUACAAGUCACUGGCCGUGCAAUAAAUGGUCCACUGAUUCACGUUGCUCCCAGCCUGCUAUGGUUUUGAAGAUUCGAAUGCCAGCCGUCUUGAUGGGGAGCUAAAAGGGCCCGGGAUCUUUAUCUUCAGCGUCUCCUUGAAAUCUGCUUCCUCCCGUGUCCUUUCAGAAGGAUAUUCUGAUCAGGGCCUAAGGUCCUUUGUUUACUCCUUUGCUCUGUAAACUUCACAUAAGCUUUACUUCAGCAAGGAUGUAAAACAGACACUAACAUCUUGAGGCUUAUUCAUUCCUCAGGAGUAUAUUAACAAGAACGGACCGCAGCUAAACAGCUAGUGUUGACUAGGGCAUGUCUGUGUGUCUCUGUGACUUUAGCCUGACUACAUGCUUUAAGAAGAUUUAUUGGGAUGUCUCAUUAGGGCCAGACAUAAGGAAGUCAUCAAGUAAAGAUUAAUCAGAUGGAAACAUGUUAGAAUUUUUCACUCUUUUUUUUUUUUUUUUUUUUUGCCAUUACGUAUGACCGUGAGAUUAUUUGUUUUUAAUAGUGACUUGGUUCUUGCAUAAGAAAGUCAUUGACUUUUGGGGAAUCAGAUGGUUGGUUUGCAACUGCGUAUCAGCAGCUUAUGUAUGGUUCUUCUGAUCAAGUGAAGAUCUGGGGAGUGAAACGCAUAAAGCAGUGGAAAGUUCAGAGAGAGAUGUUCGAAGGUAGGCUCUGCCCUCUGCAAGUUGCCUGACAACUCCCUGCCACGCACAAGGCCCCAGCUUCUCCAUCCAGAAGAUGACGGGUUUGCAAAAGAUCAGUAACUUGCAGAGAAUACUAUCUGCGAAGCCCGGGGGCUCACAUCCUGUAGCGGCUCAUCCACCCCAGGUUCCUCAACAGGCCAGCUCUGCUUUCAUCUGCUGGUGCCCUGGGCUUUCAAGUUCAAUUAUAAGCAUAACUAUUAUAAAGUAAAGUAGCUCUAAAUUAUGUUGCACUAGCUCUGGACUAGAUCACCACACUGUCACUCUGAGUUGUUCUUACCUUUUUUGGAGCCGAAACUUAUGCUCCAGGAUGUGUGCAUUUGGGAGCUCCAGAAGGAGAAUGAAAGAGAGAGAGAGAGAGACUGAAAGCAAAGAAGGACUCGCUGUGGCACCUGCAAAGAAGCAGGUUCAUCCUGGGCUGGAUGCAGCCCCAUCAAAGGUCGCUUUGGCCACACUCAUGGCGUGGCGACACGAGGCCUGAACGUUUAGCUUGCCACCCUAGGUCCCUCUGGGUCAGAUCAAGACCUGGAACUAUUCCCCAGGAGCAAGCCCAGACUCAGACUUGUGCAUCCCUGCAGCGGCGUGAGGAGCCCCCGGCUCUCCGCGAAGCAGAGGCGCUGGAGGACCCACAGCCUCUCCUCGGCCCUAAGCAGCACUGGGAGCUGGGAGGCCCGCUCUGAGGAUCCCACUUUGCAGGGAGGGAGGCAGGAGGGAGAGGCUCACGGAGCCCCGCACAUGACCUGGGCAUUCGCUACAGAGCUUCCUCCCAGUAACAAAACCCAAGAUGUCUUUCCUCAGCAAGGCUGUCCUCGUGUGUGACCUGGGCUCAUGGGCUGGCUGCCUGGGGAUGGUGCUUGUCCUGGCCCAUGAACAGACAGCACCUCUUCCUUCCCGAUGACAGCAAGGACUACACAGCACACGACGAGUCAUCCUCUGCCUCUUGGGACUUGACGUCCUGCCAAGGGCUGAAAAGGGUGCCUCGCGGACAGGUGUCCCCAGCCUGCGUGCUGCUGGGCCCCAGCCCCUCUUGCCCUCAACAACACAUCUUCGCUUCCCUAGGGGCAUCUUCGACUCAAUGCACCCGCCACCCCCACCCCACCCCGGUCGAUGCGCUUGGAAACACUGAGUCCCAGCCAGACCAUCUCAGUGCUGAAGGAAGCAAAGCAGUGAAAAGAGAAAAAUAUGACCUCAAGGGCUGUGGCUGCCAAGUGGAGACUUGAGACCUCACGGCCAUGGAGGGAGAAAGAGGGGGACUUUUAUAAAACCAUCUGGCAGAUGACCAGCCACCCCCUCGGUGUGUCCCAAAGGGUGAGGGGUCCGGCCAGGAUGGAAACCACACCACAAGGGCUCAGGACUCCACCCCAGGCUGGAUGGACCCAGAAGGACACCCAAAUUCUGCACCUGUGCCCUCCAAGUGUUAAUAAUGAGAGACAAGGCUUAAGUUAGCCAGACUGUGCAUCCCAGACGCAUGAGUGUGCAAACCACAGUAAAACACACUUGGGAUUUUUCUUUGCUUAUUACAUCUGAGGUGUCCUAAAGAACAGUCCCUAAAAAGCAUGAAAGGAAGGCAAAUUCCUGAUGUUUGCUGCCUGUGGUUAAAAAUAGAUGGUAAAAGAUCUUGAUGUGGAAUCUACAAACUGACAGAGGAAGGUGGCAGGGCUUAGUGGUGAGGCCUGUAUCAGAGUCUGCAGAAUGACAAGGCAGCGUCAUAUCCUGCUGGGAGCCCUGGACUCGCAGGGCAUUUAUUACACACCAGGUGCAUUACAGACUAGCUGUAUCAUACGCCACAGGCAUUACAAACUGCAUGCAAUAUACAUCACACACAUGACAAGCCACAAGCAUGGCACACUACAUGCAUAUGCACUGGGUGUAUGAUACCCUAGGUGCUCAAAUUGUGUCAUAACAAGCAGAGGACAGCAGGGAGGAAGAGGACACAAGCAGAGCAACGAGAUCUGUGCCUUCAGGGGCUUGGAAUCCACCUCCAGAGAAGCAACUACCUCCAACAACCAAGGCACCUGUCCGUGCUAUGUGGGGUGACUCUUACUGUCACAUGUGCUGGCAUGUCCAGGAAGUCUUCCAGGAGAACUUGAAGGGAUCGGAGCUGCAGCUCCAGACUGGCCGGGGUGUGCGUGGAGAGGCUCUGCUGUGGACAUGGUCACAGACUUGGCAUCUCUUGGUUCACUGACUCCGACUAGACUGCAAAUUAGCGCGAGUGCAGGAAAAUGGAAUAAGCCGAGGGUCAUCAACCGUGGGUCAUAAAAAGCUCAGUUUUUCUGAAGAAAUGUAUUCCCUUUGUUUUUCAAAAAUAGUAGAUAUGAAUUAUUGGAUGGGUGGAUCCUUGAGGCCCGGAGGAGGGGCCUGGAAUCUCAGCUCAACCUCUGGGCAACAAAACAGAAAAUCCCCCAAAUCGGAAGACGAAACCAGCCACAGCCAAAGGAUCGCAAAUUGGAACGGGAGCACUGAGAACAUCCUGAUCUUACAGCACCGUGGCGCCAUGCUGUCCCCUUCUAACUUGACACAUAUCACGUACCGUCAUGGCUGAGCCCAUCCCUCAUGCAAAUGUAUGAACUUGAUUUUGCUUGAAACCGCUUAAUAAGCAGGACAAAGAUACCGAAGGACAAAGGUUCACACCCACUGGAAACAGUACACCUGGGAGCUUUGCAUCUGAAUCCUUUCCAGUGUGUUUUAUAACGUGCUACUUUUACAAGAAAUAUUUCUGUAGCUAGAAAAAAAAAAAAAAGUCCCCUAUAUUCUCA